rnacentral:lncRNA from 1 species
UUGGAUGGUAAAAUUAAGAUAUUGAAAGGUUGGACAAUCGACUGAAAAUUAUCUACAAUUCAUAAUAAUUAAAUUACGUAUCAUUUUUAAAAAAAAUUAAUUUAAUAUAAAAUUAUCUAAAAAUAGUCAUAUUGUGCAUAAUAAUUGAAAAGGUAAUCAUAUAAUAAAGCUAGGAGCUUGACAUUACUCGAACUCAGAUUUUUUUUUUUUUGAGAGAUAGAUAGCACGCUACCCUCUUCGUUUAUUUCAUUUAGAAAUAAACUUAGCUGAAAAUGUAAAUCCACUAGAAUUCGAACUUGGGUCUCGAGUACUAACCACCAAGCUCUUUGUCAUUUGCUCUAGGGACGGCCAGUGAUAUUACGUAAAACAACCAUUAUAGUCUAAAAGCCUUAACUAUUAGAAAAUAGUAUUUAUAUAUCACAAUUACAUUCUCCUAAAAAUAUCUCUGUUAUCGCUAAUAUGUUA